GACGAACGCUGGCGGCGUGCUUAACACAUGCAAGUCGAACGCUGAAGCUUGGUGCUUGCACUGGGUGGAUGAGUGGCGAACGGGUGAGUAAUACGUGAGUAACCUGCCCUUGACUCUGGGAUAAGCCUGGGAAACUGGGUCUAAUACUGGAUACGACAUGUCACCGCAUGGUGGUGUGUGGAAAGGGUUUUACUGGUUUUGGAUGGGCUCAUGGCCUAUCAGCUUGUUGGUGGGGUAAUGGCUCACCAAGGCGACGACGGGUAGCCGGCCUGAGAGGGUGACCGGCCACACUGGGACUGAGACACGGCCCAGACUCCUACGGGAGGCAGCAGUGGGGAAUAUUGCACAAUGGGCGGAAGCCUGAUGCAGCGACGCCGCGUGAGGGAUGACGGCCUUCGGGUUGUAAACCUCUUUCAGCACGGAAGAAGCGAAAGUGACGGUACGUGCAGAAGAAGCGCCGGCUAACUACGUG
rnacentral:rRNA from 1 species